GGCAGUCUAUACCCCAACUCAACUGGCUGGUCCUCAAUGCUGCCUGCUUCCGUGCCCAACUUAGAACUACACAUCUGCUGCCUCUUGGUAACAUGUCAUUAUAAGAGUUUCACUCUGUUGCCAGGCUGGAGUACAGUGGCACGAUCUUGGCUCACUGCAACCUCCACCUCCCAGGUUCAAGAGAUACUCCUGCCUCAGCCUCCUGAGUAGCUGGGACUACAGCCACGUGCCACCACACCCAUCUAAUUUUUGUAUUUUUAGUAGAGACUGAGUUUCACCAUGUUGGCCAGGCCAGGAUGGUCUCUAUCUCUUGACCUCAUGAUCCACCCGCCUUGGCCUCUCAAAGUGCUGGGACUGCAGGCUUCUUCAUCAGCCCUAACCCUGCCAACCACUCCUGCCUCACUGAAUGUGCCAACGGAUUGCUCAGCUCCAACCAAGGAAAAGAAGAAGGAAGUUGGAUACUUUAUACCCUCUACAUUGUCCAUUAGCAACACAACCUAGAGCUAGGAUGGAGAAAGAAAAUGCCAAAAUGCUAAUGAAAAAUGUUCAGAUGUAUCACAUAUUAAGCAUACAUGAUCUCAAAUAUUUUGCCUGAUUUAUGCUAUGCAUGCUAUUUUCCAUGUUGUGUAGGCUCUGAUGCUAGUCUACAUUUACAGAAAUCUCCAUCAGCUGUACAAAUGGCAAUUUAAAUACAUUUAACUAUGUGCUAAUAAUCUCAUAAUACAAUUUAUCAUGUAUGAUUGGCAGAAGAAAUUAUUUGGGGCAAAAGCUAUGAUUGUAUUGUUGUAAGUUAUUAUGAAUGCUGGGCAGUGUAGGGCAUGGCACUUGCUACCACCUCCCAGAAAUGUGUAAGGGC
rnacentral:lncRNA from 10 species